rnacentral:rRNA from 1 species
GACGAACGCUGGCGGCGUGCUUAACACAUGCAAGUCGAACGAUGAAGAAGAGCUUGCUCUUCGGAUUAGUGGCGAACGGGUGAGUAACACGUGACUAACCUGCCCCUUUCUCUGGGAUAACGCUCCGAAAGGAGUGCUAAUACCGGAUACUCACAUCGAGGCACAUGCCUUGAUGUGGAAAGUUUUUCGGAAAGGGAUGGAGUCGCGGCCUAUCAGCUUGUUGGUGAGGUAACGGCUCACCAAGGCGACGACGGGUAGCCGGCCUGAGAGGGCGACCGGCCACACUGGGACUGAGACACGGCCCAGACUCCUACGGGAGGCAGCAGUGGGGGAUAUUGCACAAUGGGCGAAAGCCUGAUGCAGCGACGCCGCGUGAGGGAUGAAGGUCUUCGGAUUGUAAACCUCUUUCAGUAGGGGCGAAGCGAAAGUGACGGUACCUAAAGAAGAAGCACCGGCUAACUACGUGCCAGCAGCCGCCGCAG